CCCGGCCCGCCCCCCUGGCACCAGACUCGCUCCAGCCCGGGGCAAAGCCGAGGGAGGCCCCUUCUGCACCCCCCUCUGCUUGUGCCUGUCUUCAGGGGCCUCGUGGUGCCCACCUCCAAGGGCCCCGCUGUCCGUCCCUCGUCCCCCCAUCCCCGCUGCCUCCCCUCCAUCACCCGCACGGGGCCCCCUGCCCCGCGCACACCCGGACAUUGAUUGCGCUCAGCGGCUGGGGACAGCGCAGGGACGUGCUGGGGUGAAGCUGUCAGGUUCUGCCCAUGGGGCUGCCCCGGUCCUGGGCCAGGCAGUGCCCACGUGCCCCCCACCCCUGACACCCCCAGCCCAGCACCCCGCAGCUGGAGACGUCCUGGCACAAGGGACGUGGAGCAAAGAGGGGUGGCUGCUGCUGGGAGCCUCAUCCUUGGGCUCCUGUGGUGCGAUGGGGCGAGCAGGCUCAGUGUGUGUGCGUGUGCUUGUGUGCACGUGUGUGAGCAUGCGUGUGCACGUGUGUGUGAGCGUGUGUGUGAGUGUGUGCAGGUGUGCAGGGGGCUGCUGGGGCAGCGCCCCCCGCGCAGAGAGCCGUGCCUCUCGCCAGCGCUGCUGCUCAGGACCCAAGUCCUGCCUCGGUCCCCGCUCUCUGCCAGGACAUUGGGGGCCCCCCCCGUCAGGACUGUGUCCCUGUUGGGCUCUGCCCGGUGGGGCUGGGCACAAGCACCUCUUGGAGCCGGCGCUGCUGGAUUUUCCUGUGGGUCUCAUGCUUCCAGUCGCCUUCUCACCAGGAGUGGCUGUGCCGCAGCACCCGCGGAGCCCCUGCAGCCCUGCUCAGCCCCCGGGGGGGGUGCAGGACCGAGUGUGGGGCAGAGCUGAGGCUGCGAUGCUGGGGUGGCAGGGGAAGAGGCGUCCCCAGCCCUGGGACCCCCCAGGUGCAGCUUUGGCAGGUUUUUAUGGCAUUCACGGUCCCUCCUCGGGCGUCUCUGGGGUUUGUUGUUUGGGAUACGUUUCUAAUUAAACCUGGAAAUGAGCAAGGCCCCGGCUGUUCGUGCUGCCCCCAGGCACAGAGCGGGUGCCAGGGCAGCUUCUCCAUCACUGCCAGCUCCCGGCCGGUCGCACCUCGGUGGCCGCACCCUGCAGCUGCCCGUGGGCACGCGUCGCCUCCGAGCCCCGGGGUGUGCUUCCAGGGCUGGGCUGCGGGGGGCUGGGUCCUGCGGGGCUGAGCUGGGAGAUAAAAAUGGCUUUUGGCUGGGAUUGGCAAAGGCACCAGGAGCCCUGCUGGAGCCCAGGGGCUGCGGGAGGCACACAAGGCUUUCGGAGCCAGGGGCAGAGCAGGGCUGCUGGGGGGUCGGGUCCCCCACGGCCACGGAGCCCCGGCCCCGGUGGGCCUCGGGCUGCAAACCCCGGGCACGGCGGGGCCGCAGCGGGCUCCAGGCCAUGCUCCGGGCUGGCUCCAGCACCGACGUCCACGGGGCCCCACCGGUUGCCCCCCGCUCGCUAUGCCCAGAGCUGGAGCUGGCAGCCCCAGGGGAGUGGGGUCACCCCUCAGGGGACGUCCUCCGGCUGAGGGGCCGGCGGGGAGCUGGGUGAGUCAAUGAAUAAAGUCAGUGCCUAAAUAAAGCCUGGUAAUGAAUGUGUAAUUUUCCAUUGAUAGUCGAAUAUCUACAGGGACGCAGCGCUUCCAUCUCGGCUGCUAUUUUUUGUCAUGUAGUAAUGCGUCUGCAAAGAUAAUUGCACUGUUCCCUCAAUAGCAGAGGCAGGAAAAGGCAGCGAGAGCCCCUGCUCGCUUCUCUGCUGCGAGGAACAAGCCUGCGCCGCGCACCAGCUGCCGCCGCUCCGCACCCAGCCCUUCGGCUGCCAGAGAGGCUGCGAGGAGGCACCGGCAGGGCUGGCACAGUGGUUUUGGGGGUAUUUACCCACCUGGAUUGAGGUUGUCCAGGCCGAUCACUGCACGGCCCCCCUGAGCCCCCCAGCCCCGGCACAGAGGCAGGACCCUGCGGUGUGGGGAGGUGGGCUGGGAGCCACGCAGCGGCAGCGCUCUUGAAACAAAAAACAAUUAAAUCUGAGGCCUUUAUUGAGUUAC
rnacentral:lncRNA from 1 species